GAAAUAAAAUCAAAUUGAACUUCUAAUUCAAUAAUUUAAUGAUUAAAUCAUUUUAUUUCU
rnacentral:tRNA from 1 species